CCUGGAUGAUAUCUCCCUUGGGGGUUCAUAUUCAACCCUCUGGAUGAUAUCUCCCUUGGGGUUCAUAUUCAACCCCCUGGAUGAUAUCUCCCUUGGGGUUCAUAUUCAACCCUCUGGAUGAUAUCUCCCUUGGGGGUUCAUAUUCAACCCUCUGGAUGAUAUCUCCCUUGGGGUUCAUAUUCAACCCCCUGGAUGAUAUCUCCCUUGGGGGUUCAUAUUCCACCCCCUGGAUGAUAUCUCCCUUGGGGUUCAUAUUCAACCCCCUGGAUGAUAUCUCCCUUGGGGUUCAUAUUCAACCCCCUGGAUCAUAUGUCCGUCUGUAUGGACCAGAUACUGUACGUCACAUAACUACAUCUCCAGUGAACGACACAUAUAUCCAAUGCGUGUCUUUGAGGCAUGUUCACCUGCCCAUUAGGUUACUGCUGCUGCAUUUCCCAUCCCCUUGCCUUUACUCACAUUCAAGUUACCUCAAUAUUGGAACCCAGGGGCCCGCAGUGAUUUUAUUUGGCCACACCCCCAAUUUAAAAAUACUGUAAAAACACCAGCAAAUCAGCUGCAAGAGAUUUGACAUUUUAGAAACGUGUUCCAUAGUAUUCCCUAACACAUAACAGAGAUACAUGUGAUCGUAUACAAAUGGAAAAAGGUUUUUUUUUUUUGUCAAAUAUGUGUUGUGGCUUCUUGUGGUCAAUUUGCAGUCUAUAAAUAAUCUCUAAUGAUGUUUUCCAAACCUCUGAACAUCUGCUGAAGAAUGUAAAAAUGUUCCUGAGGCUGAAUCUAGUUGAUGUUCCCCUGCUGUAACCACCAGCUAACCUGGCUACAAGGUUGAGCUCAGUUCAGGAAGUACACUCAAAUUCCAAUUCUCUUCCAUAAAGAACAUUUGGAAUUGGGUUUACUUUCUCUAUUGACUGGAAUUAUAAUAAUAUAAUAUGCCAUUUAGCAGACGCUUUUAUCCAAAGCGACUUAGUCAUGUGUGCAUACAUUCUACGUAUGGGUGGUCCCGGGGAUCGAACCCACUACCCUGGCGUUACAAGCGCCAUGCUCUACCAACUGAGCUACAGAAGGACCAGGAAUUGAAAUGGAAUUGAGCCCAACCCUGUCUGUCUGUAUCAUAUAAAAUACCCACUGGGCAAAAACUGGUUGAAUCAACGUUAUUACAGCAUUUCAACCAAAAAAAAUGACGUGAUGAAAUUCAAUCAAUGUGGAAAACUGAUUGGAUGAGAAAGUUAUCAACCAAUGGGAAUUUAGUCUAUUUUACACCCAUCUUUUAACCUAAAUCCAAUGUCAUGGUGACAUUUUUAGUUAAUUUAACAUUGGAUUCAUGUUGACAACUCAACCAAGUAUAAAUGAAAACUAAUGUUGAACUGACGUCUGUGCCCAGUGGGGACAUAGCCUACAUUAUACCACUGCAGCCCAUGUCUGUAAAACUGAGCUUCUGCUUCUUAUACUUCUGGAAACAACCACAGGGUCAUGUCAUGGAAUUUGUAAGUUAUUUAAUUUGUCUGUUUUUAUUUUCAGGACAAAAAACAAUGAAUGUCUAUGGUAUUAGUUUUGUAUCUCCUUUUCAUGGAGCUGAUUGUUUUAAGCGUUUGGCUUUGAUAAAAAGAACAGCAAGGAGCACUCAGUUCUAUUCCAGAACACAGGUAAAGAACACCAAGGAGCACUCAGUUCUAUUCCAGAACACACGUAAAGAACACCAAGGAGCACUCAGUUCUAUUCCAGAACACACGUAAAGAACACCAAGGAGCACUCAGUUCUAUUCCAGAACACACGUAAAGAACACCAAGGAGCACUCAGUUCUAUUCCAGAACACAGGUAAAGAACACCAAGGAGCACUCAGUUCUAUUCCAGAACACAGGUAAAGAACACCAAGGAGCACUCAGUUCUAUUCCAGAACACAGGUAAAGAACACCAAGGAGCACUCAGUUCUAUUCCAGACCCCAGGUAAAGAGCACCAAGGAGCACUCAGUUCUAUUCCAGAACACACGUAAAGAACACCAAGGAAUUAUUUUCCAGAAACCAGCUAAAGACAAACUAUUCUGACUGGUCUGAAUGUUCACUUAAAAUAAAUCUUCCCUGGUAUUGGUUUCCACCACUAUUUAACAACACAUGUAUCUUAUUGUGUGGUUAAAUCAGACCCAGUUCUGAUUGUUAUUUUGUGUUGAGCGAGAGCUCCCUUGGUGGGCUUCAAGCUCCCUUGAUAUCAGCGCUGUAUUAAUGUGAUGUGACUGAGCUGAAGGCCUGAGCUUCCCUUGCCUCCGCCUCACGUGGGAUCCUUUGUCUUCUAUGCCAGGUCCAUGGACGUUAUCGGCCGCCUUUCCCUGCUCAGACAUUGCUGGACUCAACCAAUGGUUGAGUGCCACUUCAUUGACUGUGCUGUCGGGCACCAGACCGAUAUAACAUGUGGUUAUCUGACCGGUUAAACACCUAUCCAGGCGUUGUGAGAUCUGGAAUGCAUCAGCAACAUCUGGCCAGAGGAACACACCCAUAUAUAUAAAACGACAGGCCUCUGAGAUACGCUACCAUGGCAACCUUAAUUCAUACUGUCAGGCAGCCAAAGCUGACUAAUCACAGCAGCUUCCUCCUUUCCUAUGUUUGACAAGGAAUGUGUGUGAUUGGCUGUAGAGGAGAAAAGGUGGUGUUGUGGGCGUGCCUUAGAUGGGUUUUCGAAUAGAACUUACCUGGGCUGCGUUCAGCAGGGCACGACGUUGUGGAAUUGUGUCAGCUCUAUUCAUAGCAUUUCUAUCUGCAGUGUUCAGUGUAUUACAACCUGCUGAACGCAUCCCUGCUUAAGUUAGACUUCUGUAGACUGCAUUUUAAUCAUUACUCUUUUUAUCAUUUGUAUUGCAUGAAUGUUGCACAUUUUAUGUUCUGGAAAUAAUCUGGGAUUCACAGAUUAUUUAUUAAAAACAACACAUUCAAACUGA